ACCCGCUGAACUUAAGCAUAUCAAUAAGCGGAGGAAAAGAAACCAACAGGGAUUACCUCAGUAACGGCGAGUGAAGCGGUAACAGCUCAAAUUUGAAAUCUGGCUCUUUCAGGGUCCGAGUUGUAAUUUGUAGAAGAUGCUUUGGGUGAGGCUCCGGUCUAAGUUCCUUGGAACAGGACGUCAUAGAGGGUGAGAAUCCCGUACGUGACUGGGUGCCUUUGCUCGUGUAAAGCUCUUUCGACGAGUCGAGUUGUUUGGGAAUGCAGCUCAAAAUGGGUGGUAAAUUUCAUCUAAAGCUAAAUAUUGGCCAGAGGCCGAUAGCGCACAAGUAGAGUGAUCGAAAGAUGAAAAGCACUUUGGAAAGAGAGUUAAACAGUACGUGAAAUUGUUGAAAGGGAAGCGCUUGCAACCAGACUUGCAUGCUGUUGAUCAUCCGAGAUUUUUCCCGGUGCACCCGGCAGUAUUCAGGCCAGCAUCGGUUUCGGUGGGCGGAUAAAGGCCUUGGGAAUGUAGCUUCUUUCGGGGAGUGUUAUAGCCCUCGGUGCAAUGCGCCCUACCGGGACCGAGGACCGCGCUUCGGCUAGGAUGCUGGCGUAAUGGUUGUAAGCGACCCGUCUUGAAACACGG
rnacentral:rRNA from 1 species